rnacentral:rRNA from 1 species
UACAGAGGGUGCAAGCGUUGUUCGGAAUUACUGGGCGUAAAGCGCGCGCAGGCGGUCUUCCAAGUCAGUGGUGAAAGCCCGGAGCUCAACUCCGGAACUGCCAUUGAAACUGUUAGACUUGAGGAUGAGAGAGGUGAGUGGAAUUCCCAGUGUAGAGGUGAAAUUCGUAGAUAUUGGGAAGAACACCGGUGGCGAAGGCGGCUCACUGGCUCAUUACUGACGCUCAGGCGCGAUAGCGUGGGGAUCAAACAGG